rnacentral:rRNA from 2 species
GUGGGGGAUAUUGCACAAUGGGCGAAAGCCUGAUGCAGCGACGCCGCGUGAGGGAAGACGGUCUUCGGAUUGUAAACCUCUGUCUUUGGGGAAGAAAAUGACGGUACCCAAAGAGGAAGCUCCGGCUAACUACGUGCCAGCAGCCGCGGUAAUACGUAGGGAGCAAGCGUUGUCCGGAAUUACUGGGUGUAAAGGGAGCGUAGGCGGGAUGGCAAGUAGAAUGUUAAAUCCAUCGGCUCAACCGGUGGCUGCGUUCUAAACUGCCGUUCUUGAGUGAAGUAGAGGCAGGCGGAAUUCCUAGUGUAGCGGUGAAAUGCGUAGAUAUUAGGAGGAACACCAGUGGCGAAGGCGGCCUGCUGGGCUUUAACUGACGCUGAGGCUCGAAAGCGUGGGGAGCAAACAGG